rnacentral:rRNA from 1 species
UAAUACGGAGGUGGCAAGCGUUGUUCGGAUUUAUUGGGUGUAAAGGGUGUGUAGGUGUCCUGAUAAGUCGAAUGUGAAAUCCCUUGGCUCAACCAAGGAAGUGCGUUCGAUACUGUCAGGAUUGAGUAUGGAAGAGGAGAGUGGAAUUCCCGGUGUAAGGGUGAAAUCUGUAGAUAUCGGGAGGAACACCAGUGGCGAAGGCGGCUCUCUGGUCCAAUACUGACACUGAAACACGAAAGCAAGGGGAGCAAACAGGAUUAGAUACCCUGGUAGUCCUUGCAGUAAACGAUGGGCACUAGGUGUAGGCCGCAAGGUCUGUGCCGUAGCAAACGCAUUAAGUGCCCCACCUGGGGAGUACGGCGGCAACGUUG